rnacentral:lncRNA from 1 species
UGCUUUAGACCUUUAAUUCAUCAUGACAUGCUGUAACCUUAAUGCACAUCCAUUUUUUUAACAGGACUCUGUCUGAUAUGCACGUGGAAUGUGUUGCUGUCAGUCGGCAGCUGCAUCUUGCCUGUAUGACCUUAGAGACCAGAGUAACACAGGAGAGCACCUCUAGUGGUGUGGAUAUGUCAGUGCUAGAGAGGCAGCUGAAGGACAAGCUGAAAGAGGCUAUGCAGCUACAGGGGCGUUGGAAUGCAGAGAAAGUCGAACUUAACUCUAGAAUUGCGGAGCUGACCGACACAGUGAAGCACCUCCAGAGCCAAAACAGUGAGAAGGAUGCCAGCCUCAAAACCAUGCAGAUCAGUCUGGACAGGAUGGUGGGACCAUGGGAUAAUCAGGGGGGGCGUUGUUGGGUGUUUAAGGGUGUUAAAUUGGCUGUAGUCUAAACCUUAGUUUUGAUAAACUCCACCACUUCCGUGUCUGCAGUCUGGGGAAUGUCAGGCUUGCUCUAUGUGUGCUUCUUAUCUGACCUUACAUGGUUUCCUGCUCAGGAGACAAGGAGAACAGAUGAUAAAGCAGAGAUGGAGGUCCUCCACACAGAGAUCCAAUCCCUCCAAAAGAUUUUAUGUGAAGUUCACCAGGUCAGAACAAGACAUAGAACUAGGUUAGAGUGUGUAGUUUGUUACAUAAGAAUAUACUGUAAAGAUUAUUUUCUUUCCCUACUCUAAUGUCCAGUUGGUUGGUGAAGAAUUUGAUAGUAGUGGCUCUGAAAAUGUGUUGUCUUCAACUCCUGGCUGCUCUCCUCUGAGAAACACUACUCUAAUGGCUGUGCAGAGUGCUAUUUCCAAGCAUCAGAAACAAAUACAGGUCAGACAAAAGUGGCUACUGUUCCCAUCUUGUUUUCCAUCCUAUCUUGACACUUUAUAAUAGCAUUCACUUAAUAAAAUGUAACCAUGCUCUGCCAUACAAACUGUAGGACCUGCAUGGGUGUUUGGCUGCCGCCCUGGAGCAAGUGGACACACUGCGCACUCACCUGCAGGAAAGGGGCACUGAGCGGAAAGAGCUGGAACAGAAAAUCCAAGAAAUAAGGAGGGAAAGUCUGGAGGCUAAAGCAGCAUUACAGGAAAACCUCAGAGACAGCAACAGAUAUCGCUGCUCACUGGAACUUGUGACUAGGUACAUUCUCAUCAUGGGCGUCAAUACACAUACAAAUACUCAUAAAAAGUGCUUUUAUUAUUUUGUUAGAGGGCUUUUGCUUCUGGUACUCUGGUAUA